UACAUGUGGGGCAAGCGUUGUUCGGAAUUACUGGGCAUAAAGGGUGCGUAGGCGGCUUGAUAAGUCGGUGGUGAAAUCGUCCGGCCCAACCGGACACGUGCCAAUGAUACUGCCGAGCUUGAGUGCGUGAGGGGUGGGGGGAACGAGCAGUGUAGCGGUGAAAUGCGUAGAUAUUGCUCGGAAGGCCAAAGCCGAAGGGACCCCACUGGUACGCAACUGACGCUGAGGCACGAAAGCGUGGGGAGCGAACAGG
rnacentral:rRNA from 1 species